GAGACAGCAGUCGCCACGGGAAUACGAGGGGGGCAAGCGUUGUUCGGAAUUAUUGGGCGUAAAGGGUGCGUAGGCGGUUUGGCAAGUUUGGUGUGAAAUCUUCGGGCUCAACUCGAAGUCUGCAUCGAAAACUGCCGGGCUUGAGUAUGGGAGAGGUGAGUGGAAUUUCCGGUGUAGCGGUGAAAUGCGUAGAGAUCUGGAGGAAUACCGAUGGCGAAGGCAGCCAUCUGGCCUAAUACUGACGCUGAGGUACGAAAGCAUGGGGAGCAAACAGGAUUAGAUACCCGUGUAGUCCCUGUCUCUUAUAC
rnacentral:rRNA from 1 species